GAUGAAGAACGCAGCGAAAUGCGAUACGUAAUGUGAAUUGCAGAAUUCAGUGAGUCAUCGAGUCUUUGAACGCACAUUGCGCCCCCUGGUAUUCCGGGGGGCAUGCCUGUCCGAGCGUCAUUGCUGCCCUCAAGCACGGCUUGUGUGUUGGGCCUCCGUCCUCCUCCCGGGGGACGGGCCCGAAAGGCAGCGGCGGCACCGCGUCCGGUCCUCGAGCGUAUGGGGCUUCGUCACCCGCUCUUGUAGGCCCGGCCGGCGCUUGCCGACACAUCAAUCUUUUUUCCAGGUUGACCUCGGAUCAGGUAGGGAUACCCGCUGAACUUAAGCAUAUCAAUAAGCGGAGGA
rnacentral:misc_RNA from 1 species